rnacentral:rRNA from 1 species
AGAGUUUGAUCCUGGCUCAGGACGAACGCUGGCGGCGCGCCUAACGCAUGCAAGUCGAACGAGCGAGAGAGAGCUUGCUUUCUCGAGCGAGUGGCGAACGGGUGAGUAACGCGUGAGGAACCUGCCUCAAAGAGGGGGGACAACAGUUGGAAACGACUGCUAAUACCGCAUAAGCCCACGGCUCGGCAUCGAGCAGGGGGAAAAGGAGCAAUCCGCUUUGAGAUGGCCUCGCGUCCGAUUAGCUAGUUGGUGAGGUAAUGGCCCACCAAGGCGACGAUCGGUAGCCGGACUGAGAGGUUGAACGGCCACAUUGGGACUGAGACACGGCCCAGACUCCUACGGGAGGCAGCA